rnacentral:rRNA from 1 species
UACAGAGGUCUCAAGCGUUGUUCGGAUUCAUUGGGCGUAAAGGGUGUGUAGGUGGCGCGCUAAGUCGGGUGUGAAAUUUCGGAGCUUAACUCCGAAACUGCAUUCGAUACUGCCGUGCUUGAGGACUGGAGAGGAGACUGGAAUUUACGGUGUAGCGGUGAAAUGCGUAGAUAUCGUAAGGAAGACCAGUGGCGAAGGCGAAUCUCUGGACAGUUACUGACACUGAGGCACGAAGGCCAGGGGAGCAAACGGG